UCGUAGUGACCUGCGGAAGGAUCAUUAAAGAAUGCCCCGUUUUUUGAAAUGGGUUCUAUUCCCAAACCGUGUAUAUAUACCUUUGUUGCUUUGGCAGGCCGCCUUCGGGCGUCGGCUCACGCUAACUGCGCCUGCCAGAGGACCCAAACUCGUUUGUUUAGUGAUGUCUGAGUACUAUAUAAUAGUUAAAACUUUCAACAACGGAUCUCUUGGUUCUGGCAUCGAUGAAGAACGCAGCGAAAUGCGAUAAGUAAUGUGAAUUGCAGAAUUCAGUGAAUCAUCGAAUCUUUGAACGCACAUUGCGCCCCUUGGUAUUCCGAGGGGCAUGCCUGUUCGAGCGUCAUUAUAACCACUCAAGCCUGGCUUGGUAUUGGGGUUCGCGGUCUCGCGGCCCUUAAAAUCAGUGGCGGUGCCAUCUGGCUCUAAGCGUAGUAAUCUAUCUCGCUAUUGGGUCCGGUGGUUGCUUGCCAACAACCCCCAACUUCUAAGGUUGACCUCGGAUCAGGUAGGGAUACCCGCUGAACUUAAGCAUAUCAAUAAGCGGAGGAAUC
rnacentral:rRNA from 1 species